AGGCAUAUGAUGAGAUUUACUCGGAUUCCCCUUCAGGACUUCAUGGGUGAUGUAAACUCGAGUUUCUGAUGCA
rnacentral:snoRNA from 9 species